UAAUACGGAGGAUGCAAGCGUUGUUCGGAAUCACUGGGCUUAAAGAGCGUGUAGGUGGAAUAUCAGGCGUCGGGUGAAAUCCCUCGGCUCAACCGAGGAACUGCCUGGCGAACCGGUAUUCUUGAGGCAGGUAGAGGUGGCUGGAACGACUGGUGGAGCGGUGAAAUGCGUAGAUAUCAGUUGGAACGCCGGCGGCGAAAGCGAGCCACUGGGCCUGUCCUGACACUGAGACGCGAAAGCGUGGGGAGCAAACAGGAUUAGAUACCCUGGUAGUCCACGCCGUAAACGAUGCGCACUAGGUAUGAGAGGUUUUAACGCCGAUCGUGCCGGAGCAAAAGUGCUAAGUGCGCCGCCUGGGGAGUACGGCCGCAAGGCUAAAACUCAAAUGAAUUGACGG
rnacentral:rRNA from 1 species